CCGGAGGAAACCCCCGAGGCACGGGGAGAACAUGAAAACUCCACACACACAAAACGGAGAUUUCACAGCGGACAUCGUCUCAAAGCUUUACAGAAAUAUAGAAAUAUAGACCAAAUUACUUAGAAGCAAUCCAUCUCUUCCUGCUCGUCUCUACUUUACUGCCACUUUCUAUGACUGAUGUUCCAUAAACCCACCGUUUCAGCAAACAAGCUCUGUGUCCUCCAGCUCCAGUCUCUCAUUAAAGCUCAUAGAUUCUGACGACACACCGGCAGCUCUAGACAAAUCCACAAAUCUUGGAGCCGCUAUUCAUGAGAAGAACUUGACACAGCAACCUCUACAACAGGAUCUAAUGAGGAGGAAAAGAGUUGGAGCUGAGCAAAGUAGUUAAGCUGGAAAAGCACAAAAGUGCACCUGCCAUAUUAAACAAGUCCAUCCUGAUCAUGA